rnacentral:rRNA from 1 species
UGGGGAAUUUUGGACAAUGGGCGAAAGCCUGAUCCAGCAAUGCCGCGUGUGUGAAGAAGGCCUUCGGGUUGUAAAGCACUUUUGUCCGGAAAGAAAUCCUUGGCUCUAAUACAGUCGGGGGAUGACGGUACCGGAAGAAUAAGCACCGGCUAACUACGUGCCAGCAGCCGCGGUAAUACGUAGGGUGCAAGCGUUAAUCGGAAUUACUGGGCGUAAAGCGUGCGCAGGCGGUUUGCUAAGACCGAUGUGAAAUCCCCGGGCUCAACCUGGGAACUGCAUUGGUGACUGGCAGGCUAGAGUAUGGAAGAGGGGGGUAGAAUUCCACGUGUAGCAGUGAAAUGCGUAGAGAUGUGGAGGAAUACCGAUGGCGAAGGCAGCCCCCUGGGCCAAUACUGACGCUCAUGCACGAAAGCGUGGGGAGCAAACAGGAUUAGAUACCCUGGUAGUCCACGCCCUAAACGAUGUCAACUAGUUGUUGGGGAUUCAUUUUCCUUAGUAACGUAGCUAACGCGUGAAGUUGACCGCCUGGGGAGUACGGUCGCAAGAUUAAAACUCAAAUGAAUUG